rnacentral:rRNA from 1 species
CUACGGGGGGCUGCAGUGAGGAAUAUUGCACAAUGGGGGAAACCCUGAUGCAGCAACGCCGCGUGGAGGAUGACGCAUUUCGGUGUGUAAACUCCUUUUAUGAGUCAAGAAAAUGACGGUAGCUCAUGAAUAAGCACCGGCUAACUCCGUGCCAGCAGCCGCGGUAAUACGGAGGGUGCAAGCGUUACUCGGAAUCACUGGGCGUAAAGGACGCGUAGGCGGGAUGUCAAGUCAGGUGUGAAAUCCUAUGGCUCAACCAUAGAACUGCACUUGAAACUGGCAACCUAGAGUAUGGGAGGGGGAGAUGGAAUUAGUGGUGUAGGGGUAAAAUCCGUAGAUAUCACUAGGAAUACCGAAAGCGAAGGCGAUCUCCCGGAACAUUACUGACGCUAAGGCGUGAAAGCGUGGGGAGCAAACAGGAUUAGAUACCCUCGUAGUC